UACAGAGGGUGCGAGCGUUGUUCGGAAUUAUUGGGCGUAAAGGGCGCGUAGGCGGUGCGGUAAGUCACCUGUGAAAUCUCCCGGCUUAACUGGGAGCCUGCAGGCGAAACUACCGUGCUGGAGUAUGGGAGAGGUGCGUGGAAUUCCCGGUGUAGCGGUGAAAUGCGUAGAUAUCGGGAGGAACAUCAGUGGCGAAGGCGGCUGCCUGGCCCAAUACUGACACUCAGGUGCGACAGCGUGGGGAGCAAACAGG
rnacentral:rRNA from 1 species